CCUGGGAUCACUUCUCCACAUGACGACUGGUGUUGGAGCUGUUUUACCUGCAGUGAUGGGUGGUGACACACUGAUCCACGCUCCAGUUUGUCUGCUCCUGUGCUGGAUGCUGCUCAUGGACCCAGUGAGGACUGUAGAACUCGACAUGGUUGAAGAUGCUGUUGAUGACGUACUCUGGCUGCACCGACAAAAUGAAGGAAAUGCAAGAAAUAAAAGAAAUAUGUAGAAGAUUCAAAAGUGUUGGAGUGUUCGAAGAAGACUCCUGACAAAGGAGACGAGGCUCUGACUGAAAAUCACAUGAA